GAUGAACGCUGGCGGCGUGCCUAAUACAUGCAAGUCGAGCGAACAGAUGAGGAGCUUGCUCCUCUGACGUUAGCGGCGGACGGGUGAGUAACACGUGGAUAACCUACCUAUAAGACUGGGAUAACUUCGGGAGGCCGGAGCUAAUACCGGAUAAUAUAUUGAACCGCAUGGUUCAAUAGUGAAAGACGGUUUUGCUGUCACUUAUAGAUGGAUCCGCGCCGCAUUAGCUAGUUGGUAAGGUAACGGCUUACCAAGGCAACGAUGCGUAGCCGACCCGAGAGGGUGAUCGGCCACACUGGAACUGAGACACGGUCCAGACUCCUACGGGAGGCAGCAGUAGGGAAUCUUCCGCAAUGGGCGAAAGCCUGACGGAGCAACGCCGCGUGAGUGAUGAAGGUCUUCGGAUCGUAAAACUCUGUUAUUAGGGAAGAACAAAUGUGUAAGUAACUAUGCACGUCUUGACGGUACCUAAUCAGAAAGCCACGGCUAACUACGUG
rnacentral:rRNA from 1 species